UAAUCAGGUCACAGUUCCACAGGCUUAAUAGGAAGCAUGACUGGAAGGCCUCAGGAAACUUACAGUCAUGGUAGGAGGUGAAAGGAAAGCAAGCACCUUGUUCAUAAAGAAGCUGGAGAGA